CAAUACUUAGUGGCAGACGGGUGAGUAACAUGUAGGUAUCUACCCUAUGGCCUGGAAUAACACGAGGAAACUUGUGCUAAUACCGGAUAAGUCUUUACGGAGAAAGCUUUAUGCACCAUUGGAUGAGCCUGCACUUGAUUAGUUUGUUGGUAGGGUAAUGGCCUACCAAGACUGUGAUCAAUAGCUGAUUUGAGAGGAUGAUCAGCCACAUUGGGACUGAGACACGGCCCAAACUCCUACGGGAGGCAGCAGUGGGGAAUCUUGCACAAUGGAGGAAACUCUGAUGCAGCGAUGCCGCGUGAGUGAAGAAGGCCCUUGGGUUGUAAAGCUCUUUCGUCGGGGAAGAAAAUGACUGUACCCGAAUAAGAAGGUCCGGCUAACUUCGUGCCAGCAGCCGCGGUAAUACGAAGGGACCUAGCGUAGUUCGGAAUUACUGGGCUUAAAGAGUUCGUAGGUGGUUGAAAAAGUUGGUGGUGAAAUCCCAGAGCUUAACUCUGGAACUGCCAUCAAAACUUUUCAGCUAGAGUAUGAUAGAGGAAAGCAGAAUUUCUAGUGUAGAGGUGAAAUUCGUAGAUAUUAGAAAGAAUACCAAUUGCGAAGGCAGCUUUCUGGAUCAUUACUGACACUGAGGAACGAAAGCAUGGGUAGCGAAGAGGAUUAGAUACCCUCGUAGUCCAUGCCGUAAACGAUGUGUGUUAGACGUUGGAAAUUUAUUUUCAGUGUCGCAGCGAAAGCGAUAAACACACCGCCUGGGGAGUACG
rnacentral:rRNA from 1 species